ACUCAAAUGAAUUGACGGGGACCUGCACAAGCGGUGGAGCGCGUGGUUUAAUUCGUCACAAAGCGGAGAACCUUACCCAGGCUUGACAUCGAGAGAAUCCCCGAGAAACCGGGGAGUGCCGCAAGGAGCUCUCUGACAGAUGCUGCACGGUUGUCGUCAGCUCGUGCUGUGAAGUGUCCCGUUCAGUCGGUUAACGAGCGCAACCCUUACCCUGUGUUAUACAUGUCACAGGGAACUGCCCUAGUUAAUAGGGAGGAAGGUGAGGAUGACGUCAAAUCAGCGUGGCUCUUACGCCUGGGGCCACACACACGCUACAAUGGGAAGUAACAAUGGGUUGCCAAGCCGCGAGGCGGAGCUAAUCCCACCAAACCUUCCCUCAAUUCGGAUUGGAGGCUGAAACUCGCCUCCAUGAAGUCGGAAUCGCUAGUAACGGCCAAUCAGCUACGUGGCCGUGAAUACGUUCUCAGGUCUUGCACACACCGCCCGU
rnacentral:rRNA from 1 species